CCAGUGUUCAGCUCGAUUGGGACGAACCUGGGCACUUAGCCGUGCAGAAACAAUGGCGAGCCUUUAGCCGGAUCGGGAGCAGUAAUGGGUGCCUCCAUGGACAGCGGACACCCUGCCGGAUCCAGAGGGGUGGAAGUCAGCGGCGGGUCUGCGAUGUGGGCAAACAACAGUGGUGGACACCAUUUAUUUGAGGAUGUGUACUCUGGAUAAUGUCUUAAAGUUGAUAGUCUUGCUCAGUUGCCCAGGCUAGAGUGCAGUGGUGUGAUCAUGGCUCACUGCAGCCUUGAACUCCUGGGCUCAAGUUAUCCUCCCACCUCAGCUUCCUUAGUUGCUGGGACUACAAGUGCAGGCCAUGCCUGGCUUCUA
rnacentral:lncRNA from 1 species